rnacentral:rRNA from 1 species
UACGUAGGUGACAAGCGUUGUCCGGAUUUACUGGGCGUAAAGAGCGCGCAGGCGGUCGAUCAAGUCGAGUGUGAAAGCCCCCGGCUCAACUGGGGAGGGUCAUUCGAAACUGGUCGACUCGAAGGCAGGAGAGGGUAGUGGAAUUCCCGGUGUAGUGGUGAAAUGCGUAGAUAUCGGAAGGAACACCAGUGGCGAAGGCGGCUUCCUGGACUAAUACUGACGCUGAGGUGCGAAAGCGUGGGGAGCAAACAGG